AUCCUGGCUCACGAUGAACGCUAGCGGCAGGCCUAACACAUGCAAGUCGAGGGGUAUAGAGAGCUUGCUUUCUAGAGACCGGCGGAUGGGUGAGUAACGCGUAUGCAACCUACCUUUUACAGGGGAAUAGCCCGGAGAAAUUCGGAUUAAUGCUCCAUGGUUUAUAUGAAUGGCAUCAUUUGUAUAAUAAGGAUUUAUCGGUAAAAGAUGGGCAUGCGUAUCAUUAGCUAGUUGGUGUGGUAACGGCAUACCAAGGCAACGAUGAUUAGGGGUCCUGAGAGGGAGAUCCCCCACACUGGUACUGAGACACGGACCAGACUCCUACGGGAGGCAGCAGUGAGGAAUAUUGGCCAAUGGAGGCAACUCUGAACCAGCCAUGCCGCGUGCAGGAUGACGGUCCUAUGGAUUGUAAACUGCUUUUGUACGGGAAGAAAUGUAAUUACGUGUAAUUAUUUGACGGUACCGUAAGAAUAAGGAUCGGCUAACUCCGUGCCAGCAGCCGCGGUAAUACGGAGGAUCCGAGCGUUAUCCGGAAUUAUUGGGUUUAAAGGGUUCGUAGGCGGUUUAGUAAGUCAGUGGUGAAAUCUUAUAGCUUAACUAUAAAAUUGCCGUUGAUACUGCUAAACUUGAAUAGUAUGGAAGUAAUUAGAAUAUGUAGUGUAGCGGUGAAAUGCUUAGAUAUUACAUGGAAUACCAAUUGCGAAGGCAGAUUACUACGUACUUAUUGACGCUGAUGAACGAAAGCGUGGGUAGCGAACAGGAUUAGAUACUCUGGUAGUCCACGCCGUAAACGAUGGAUACUAGCUGUUCCGGUUUUCGACUGAGGAUUACUACGUACUUAUUGACGCUGAUGAACGAAAGCGUGGGUAGCGAACAGGAUUAGAUACUCUGGUAGUCCACGCCGUAAACGAUGGAUACUAGCUGUUCGGUUUUCGGACUGAGUGGCUAAGCGAAAGUGAUAAGUAUCCCACCUGGGGAGUACGUUCGCAAGAAUGAAACUCAAAGGAAUUGACGGGGGCCCGCACAAGCGGUGGAGCAUGUGGUUUAAUUCGAUGAUACGCGAGGAACCUUACCAAGGCUUAAAUGUAGAUUGACAGGUUUAGAGAUAGACUUUUCUUCGGACAAUUUACAAGGUGCUGCAUGGUUGUCGUCAGCUCGUGCCGUGAGGUGUCAGGUUAAGUCCUAUAACGAGCGCAACCCCUAUUGUUAGUUGCCAGCGAGUAAUGUCGGGAACUCUAACAAGACUGCCGGUGCAAACCGUGAGGAAGGUGGGGAUGACGUCAAAUCAUCACGGCCCUUACGUCUUGGGCUACACACGUGCUACAAUGGCCAGUACAGAAAGCAGCUACCAGGCAACUGGAUGCGAAUCUCAAAAACUGGUCUCAGUUCGGAUUGGAGUCUGCAACUCGACUCCAUGAAGCUGGAAUCGCUAGUAAUCGGAUAUCAGCCAUGAUCCGGUGAAUACGUUCCCGGGCCUUGUACACACCGCCCGUCAAGCCAUGGAAGCUGGGGGUACCUGAAGUCGGUCGCCGCAAGGAGCUGCCUAGGGUAAAACUGGUAACUAGGGCUAAGUCGUAACAAGGUAACCGUAA
rnacentral:rRNA from 1 species